rnacentral:rRNA from 1 species
GAGACCUGACGUGCAAGUAGAACGGUUCUUAGCUAGUGCUUGCAGUAAGUAAAGGGUAGGGAAUCUUCGGCAAUGGACGAAGUCUGACCGAGCAACGCCGCGUGAGUGAAGAAGGUUUUCGGAUCGUAAAGCUCUGUUGUAGAGAAGAAUGAUGGUGGGAGUGGAAAAUCCACCAUGUGACGGUAACUAACCAGAAGCGAUUGCGAAUACCGCAUAAGAAGAGUCAACACAUGUUAGUUCGUGAAACGGCGCGAUUGCGCCUCUCUGGGAUGUAGCGCUGUAUUCUCGAGUUCGUGAGGUAACAAAGGGACGGCUAACUACGUGCCAGAGCCGCGGUAAUACGUAGUCUCGAGCGUUGUCCGAUUUAUUGGGCGUAAAGCGAGCGGAGAGUGUCCAUGUGUGCGGUGAAAUGCGUAGAUAUAUGGAGGAACACCGUGGCGAAAGCGCUCUCUGGUCUGUAACUGACGCUGAGGCUCGAAAGCGUGGAGCAAACAGGAUUAGAUCCCUGGUAGUCCACGCCGUAAACGAUGAGUGCUAGGUGUAGACCCUUCCGGGGUUUAGGCCGUAGCGUUGGGGUAGAACGAGCGCAACCGUUAUUGUUAAUUGUCAACUUUAAGUCGGUGGCUCAACCAAGAUUCCCUUUGCAACCGGGAGACAGGUGGGGAGAACGGGAAAGUGGCAUGCCAUUUAUGACGGUGACACGGUGGAUAUAUGGAGUACAACGAGUCGCGAGACCGGGCACGCUGAUCUGCAUCAGCCGCUCAGAGUCGAGAUUGUAGGCAGCAACCCGCCUGAGUGAAGCCGGAAGCGCUAGUAGUUCGCGAUCAGCACGAGGCGGUGAAACACUUUCCCCGGCCUUGUAACA